CCGCUUGCAAUCCAUUACCGGACUUCCUAUGUUUGGGGUGUGAGAAGUUCGCUUCUGACUAUGGCAAUAAACGGGGUAUGGAAUAGGCGUAGUGGACCCGGGGGCGGUACCCGGCGUCUCCACCAAUCAUUCAGCCUGUAAAGGUUUGGACAGAUGGGGACGAAAUAGGCUCGACACGCGCAGUAAAGAUAUUCUUUUUGCCCGGUAUUGUACCACCGUUAUCGGGCUAUUUUUACAAGUGCCAAUGAUAACACUGAGGUGCUCGCUGUCGCUGCAUAAGCGAUAAGCGCGGUUCGGGAGGGCACCGGGCAACAGAAGCCCUCCCACC
rnacentral:tmRNA from 17 species